UCGGGAAUUUUGCUCAAUGGGCGCAAGCCUGAAGCAGCAACGCCGCGUGAGGGAUGAAGGCCUUCGGGUUGUAAACCUCUUUUCCCAGGGACGAUGAUGACGGUACCUGAGGAAUAAGUCACGGCUAACUACGUGCCAGCAGCCGCGGUAAUACGUAGGUGACCAGCGUUGUCCGGAUUUACUGGGCGUAAAGAGCGCGCAGGCGGUCGUUCAAGUCGAGUGUGAAAGCCCCCGGCUCAACUGGGGAGGGUCACUCGAUACUGAUCGACUUGAAGGCAGUAGAGGGAAGCGGAAUUCCCGGUGUAGUGGUGAAAUGCGUAGAUAUCGGGAGGAACACCAGUGGCGAAGGCGGCUUCCUGGCCUGUUCUUGACGCUGAGGCGCGAAAGCUAGGGGAGCAAACG
rnacentral:rRNA from 1 species